rnacentral:rRNA from 1 species
CUUGGUCAUUUAGAGGAAGUAAAAGUCGUAACAAGGUUUCCGUAGGUGAACCUGCGGAAGGAUCAUUAGUGAAUUUAGAGCGUAACUUCGGUUAGCUCAACCUUCAUUUUCCAACUCUGUGCACUAUUGGCGGACUGAGAGUAAGCAAUUGCUAUUCAGUCUGCGGCUCACUAUUAAACAUUAGUUAAAGUAUGUAAACAAAAACAAAACAAAAAAAACUUUCAACAACGGAUCUCUUGGCUCUCGCAUCGAUGGAGAACGCAGCGAAAUGUGAUAAGUAAUGUGAAUUGCAGAAUUCAGUGAAUCAUCGAAUCUUUGAACGCACCUUGCGCUCUCUGGUAUUCCGGAGAGCAUGUCUGUUUGAGUGUCAUGAACUCUUCAACCUACCGGUUUCUAGUAAAUCGGAUUAGUGUUUGGAUUCUGAACGCCUGCUGGCCUUUAUUGGCGAAGCUCGUUCGUAAAUGAUUAGCAUCUCAUAUUCGAAAAUCGGAUUGACUCAGUGUAAUAGACUAUUCGCUGAGGACGCUCUUUCGGGAGUGGCCGAGUUUUGUAAAGUAGAAGCUUCUAAUUCUAUUAGUCAACUUUAGAUUAGACCUCAGAUCAGGCAGGAUUACCCGCUGAACUUAAGCAUAUCAAUAAGCGGAGGA